rnacentral:rRNA from 1 species
GACGAACCACACAAGCGUUAUUCGGAAUUACUGGGCUUAAAGGGUGCGUAGGCUGCGCAGAAAGUUGGGUGUGAAAUCCCUCGGCUCAACCGAGGAACUGCGUCCAAAACUACUGUGCUCGAGGGAGACAGAGGUGAGCGGAACUUAGGGUGGAGCGGUGAAAUGCGUUGAUAUCCUAAGGAACACCCGUGGCGAAAGCGGCUCACUGGGUCUCUUCUGACGCUGAGGCACGAAAGCUAGGGUAGCGAACGGG